rnacentral:rRNA from 1 species
UACAGAGGACUCAAGCGUUGUUCGGAUUCAUUGGGCGUAAAGGGUGCGUAGGUGGCUCUGUAAGUCGGGUGUGAAAUUUCGGAGCUUAACUCCGAAACUGCAUUCGAUACUGCGGUGCUUGAGGACUGGAGAGGAGACUGGAAUUCAUGGUGUAGCAGUGAAAUGCGUAGAGAUCAUGAGGAAGACCAGUGGCGAAGGCGGGUCUCUGGACAGUUCCUGACACUGAGGCACGAAGGCCAGGGGAGCAAACGGG